CGCUGAGAUGGUCAAGGGUCUGGAAACCAAGCCUUAUGAGGAACGGUUGAAGGAGCUGCGUAAGUUUAGCCUAGAAAAGAGGAGACUGGGAGGAGAUAUGAUGGUCAUCUUCAAUUACAGUCAUACCUCCGGUUGCGAACGUGAUCUGUGCGGGAGGCAUGUUCGCAACCCGCAGCGUUUGUAGCCUCAAGCGCCGAGUCUGUGCAUGCGCGUGACGUGAUUCGGCACGUCUGCGCAUGCACGUGAUGUCAUUUUGCGCUUCUACGCAUGUGUGAGCACCAAAACCCAGAAGUAACCCGUUCCAGUACUUCCGGGUUCUACACUGUUCACAACCCGAAAACGAGCAACCCACAGCAUUCGUAACCCGAGGUAUGACCGUAUCUCAAGCUCUGUCACAUGGAAGAUGGAGCAAGCUUGUUUUCUCCUGCUCUGGAGGGUAGGAACUAAACUAAUGGCUUUAAAAGAAAGGAAGAUUUUUCUGAUGAUAAAGAGUUGUUUGACAGUAGAACGGACUCCAUUGGAAGGUAUUAGAUUCCUUUCUUGGAGGUUUUUAAGCAGAGGUUGGAUAUCAUCUGUCAUGGAUGCUGUUAUGUACUGAAGUUCUCACCCUGGGCCAGCAGGGGGAUACUGUAGAUAGUUCAGCUCCACAUAUGCAAAUAAGGGAUCGAAAGUGACGUUCAGUGAUUGGAUAGUUACAGAAAAUGGUUACUGUUGCGUUCUAGUGGAGCUCUAUAUAAGCAGGCUGGCUGAACCCUUCAGUUCAGUUCUGUUCUGGCCUGUGAAUAAACAAGAGCUGUUUGAAAAAUCGCUGUGUCGUCCGAUACGUUCAUCCACAACUUAACAGAUGCUUUAGUUGAGAUUCCUGCCUUGCAGAGGGAUGGACCAAAUGAUCCUAGGGGUCACUUCCAACUCUACAAUUCUAAUACUAUUCUUAUGUAAAACUGAGCUUUUUUUUUUUGUUCAUUUGCAAAUAAAAGUUAAGUCUGCACUUCUGUGUUUCUCUUACUAGUUUAGAGCUGUUUUCAGUGUUUUUAUUGCAAGUACACAGAUGGUGAUAUUUGAUUUCCUGUCAGAUUUAAUGAACACAAGACAGGAGGAAUAAGAACAUUUGUUUGUUCAGCAAAGUUCAUUUUGUGGCUUUUGAUUCAUAAAGUGCUUACCGUUGUGUUGCUGUUUUAUUUGUACAAUGUGGUUAUAUGUUUAACCAAAUACAGAUGUUAAUCAUGAGGAAUUUUGCAAAUUACAGAUUGCUAGGUCUCUGUAGCAGGUUUACUCAAUAAUUUUUAAUGAUAUUGUAUAUUUUGUAUUGUGUAUUUCAUUGUUGUACACCACCUAGAAAUGUGAGCAUGACAGGUGGUAUAUAAAUAUCCCUAAAGAAAUAUAAGCAAUGUCCACAACAAACAUCAUUGAACAAUACUUUCCCUUUUUGAAACCCCUCAACAGCAAAUUAAGGCCUGUGUCUCUACUUGCCUGGCAGUGACUCAGCAGGCAAAGUCAAUGUUUUUUGACCCCUUAGCCCUUGCCCAGUUGAAAAGAAAGGCCCUGUUAAAAUUAGAUGCUGAGCAGGUCCUUAGGAGCGUUUUUCCUAAUGUUUAACUGUAAACUAAGAGGAAGGUGAUAUUGAAGCAAUUGCUUCUUAUUCUGCUCUCCCUGGACCAGGUAAGCAAUAGUUUGUCUUUCUUUCUUUUUUCAAAUCUGCUUUGCAAUUAUUAUUACUGAAAACCAUUGUUCCUAAAUUUUCUUUAGGGGUAAUGCUCAGUGGGUCAACCUUUCUUUCCUUUUAUUCCUUUUGCACAGGAGAGGCACUUUUCCCAGCACCAUGGCUACUCCAAGAGAUGCAAAUUAAUGGAUACAUAACAAGAAAAGUACUAUGGAAUAAUAUCUCAGUACAGGAUCACAGCUGAGAGACUCUUAUAUGGACAAAGACAGAAACAUUUAUUAUUAUGUAAGAUGGAGGAAUGCUUGUUGAUUUUAUUUUUAAAAGUAUUUGUUAAGUUGUGGGUGAACAUAUCAGAUGACACAGUGAUUCUUCAAACAGCUCUUGUUUAUUCAGAGGCCAGAACAGAACUGAACUGAAGGGCUCAGUCAGCCUGCUUAUAUAGAGCUCCAGUACAACGUUACUGUAGCAACUUUCUAAAACUAUCCAAUCACUGAACAUCACUUUCCAUCCUUCAUUUGCAUAACUAUCUACAGUAUCCCCCUGCUGGCCCAGGGUGAGAACUUCAGUACAGUAUUUAUAUAUUUUUAAUAAUUUGAGACAUCCACUUUCCAGUUAUCUUCAUUUAUCCUACAUUCUUCGGCUCCCCCGCACCUCCCUCCAUGGGUUCUUAAUUAAUCCUUGGUUGUGCUGCAUUUCCUUAAUUACCACCCCUCUUCAUGGUUGUUGAAGUUAUUGGAGGCAAAUUUGAGAUGUUUGAUUAGAGAAAAACCAUUGCUGACAUUUAUUACAAUAAUUAGAGAACCCCUUUGGACAUUUUGUGUGAAAAGGAAAACAAACAAAUUUGAGAAAUUUGGGUCUGAAGAUUGAGAAAAUAUUGCUUAACAGAAAAUAGAACAGUAGGAUGUCACCCUAGACUGGAUGUUUUGAAUAAUUUUAUUUACGUAACUGACAGAGGGAAAAUCAGAAGUCCUCUAUUUUUCUUUCUUUUCUUUCCCCCCUUUUCUUUCUCCUUUCUUUUCUUUUCCUUUUCUUAUUUUUCUUUUUAUUUGGUGUCCUCUGCUUUGGGUUUAUUGGCGUCCAAGGAUUACACACACACACACACACACACACACACACAAAGGUAGUGGAUGGUUGCUGGCCGAACUCUUAAGUGAGAGGCAGGGCAGGAAAGACCAUCCAAGGUGAGAGAAUGAGAGAAGAAAGAAAUCUCCCAGGUGAGAACUGGGAGGGUCUCCCACUUUCUGUGUGAGACAAGGGUUAAGAGGUUCUUUUGAGAGAGGACUCUGCAUUUGAUUUUCUCUUUCUUUCUUUGGUUUUGUUUUUAUUUAGAUUGGUUUCUUUCAUCUUACUGUAUUAUGAAAAAGCUUUAAUAAAAUAUUAUGUGGCAAAAAGAGAAAGAACAUGGAGGUCACAGCUUGUAGCGGUCACCAAUGAUGAGGUACUUAAAAAAUCAGCAGAGUGGGGGAAAUGUAAACAAAGAUGUAAAGAAGGGUUUAAAUAAAAGCAUGAAAAUAACUACAGUGGUACCUCGGGUUACAGACGCUUCAGGUUACAUACUCCACUAACCCAGAAAUAGUACCUCAGGUUAAGAACUUUGCUUCAGGAUGAGAACAGGAAUCGGCGGCAGCAGGAGGCCCCAUUAGCUAAAGUGGUGCCUCAGGUUAAGAACAGUUUCAGGUUAAGAACAGAUCUCCGGAACGAAUUAAGUUCUUAACCCGAGUGUCAGGGAACUGCCAUCGGACGGAAGGGAGGUGAAAGGGCUCACACAGGUUGGGAGAGACUCAGCAGCUGAAGAGGGAACCAGUAGGGGGAGAGGAGCUGAGCGGAGGGAAAGUGAGCUGGAGGGAUGGCUCAGAGACACUUCCAGCGAAAACAGUGGGGAGGUUUCAGGACCUCCUGUAGGGACACCCACUCCUCGCCGGAAACUGACACGCAGAGGGUCCAGAAGACGUGUUUCCGUUAAGGAGCUUUUAUGUUGGAAGCGAUUACGAAAGCAACCACUGUCGGAAUCUGCUAGUGACUAGAGGAGCCAUGUCUGAGGGCUCCGUCACAGACAGAGGUUUGUGGACUUGAACAAACUCUGAGGGGAUACGAUUUUACGCACAAGCAGCUCAUCAUCCCAUCACAGCAUUCCGACAGUCUUUGAAAGCAGCUUGUGCAGGAGAAGGCAUCAUGAGCAACCCAGCCGGAACCGGAGAAGCAGGAGCUGGAGCGGGUCCAAGCCUGGAAGAAAGGUACCGGGUGUUGGAGGUCCAGCUAGCGAUGCAGACGGCGAGGCUUGAGGAGAGGAGGGCUCAGGAUGCAGACAAAAAGGGGAAGCCACCCAGCUCGCCAGAAAGGUACCAGGAUUGGUGCAGAAGUUUGGGGGGGAGCCCAAAGACUAUCAUGGCUUUCGGACAGAGAUGCAAUAUGCCCUCAAUCUGCAGUUUGAUGAAUUCCCUGACGAGGAAUCACGAGUGGCUUUCGUGAUUGAGCAGCUUGAAAAGGGGGCGAGAGACUGGGUUAGACCCCUGAUGGCAGCGAAUAGUGACGUCCUAAAGGACACGAUGAAGUUCUUUCGCGCCAUGGAUCUGAUGUUUUCCAGCGAUAUUGAACAGGGAGUGGUGCGCAGACAGUUAAUGGCUUGCAAACAGGGGAGCCGAUCUGUCCGUGAGUACUGGACUGAGUUCACCAUGCUGGUGCACAGAUUGGGGUGGGACUUAUCGGCGGAACCCAUUCAAAUGCUCUUUGAAGAAGGGCUUUCUUCGGCUGUGAAAGACGAACUUUCCCGGGCGCCCAGGGCGGAGUCUAUGGACCAGCUGACCAAAUCAGCGCUGACCAUAGGAGCGCGCCAGGAGGCGAGAGCAUUGGAGAGGCGGGAAGGGAAAGGGGAACGUUGGAAGGAGUUCCGCAUUCCAGACAUUCCAGAGCCAACUUUCCCGCCGGCAGAGCCGAUGGAAAUCGGAACAGCGCGCGCGCGCGCAGUUUCAAAGCCCAGUGAGGGGGAAAGAAGGAGGAAAAGGCGCCCGGAAAUGCUAUCUCUGCCAACAGCCAGGUCACUUUGCCAGAGUCUGCCCCCAGAGGAAGGAAUGGCAAGGGAUGGUAGGAGCUGUGGAGGGAAGAGAGGAAGAAAUACCGGAGCAAGUAAAAGCCAACGCCUGGCUGCCACUGUCGGGGCACAGCAGCCAGGCCAAAGAGCAGUGAGAGUGCCCACGCCAGAACCUCCUAAACCCGCCCUAGUGAUAGAAGUGACGCUAGAGCUGCCAAACGGACACCCUCUAAAGAUAAAGGCGCUGUUGGACUCAGGCAGCUCCUGCAAUUUCAUGAGCAAAGAGUUUGCAGCUGAACACCAGAUACAGACGAUCCCUUUAAGCAACCCCCUGCAGGUGACCACGAUCGAUGGCAGGGAGCUGUUGGGAGGAGAAGUCAGCUUGCAGACCGUCCCAAUGAUAAUGAAGGUAGCAAGGCACACCGAACUGAUAGCUUUUAAUGUGGCCACCUUGGGAGGAGCUCCCAUUAUAUUGGGGAUGAGCUGGCUAGCGUUACAUGAUCCGCUGGUGGGCUGGCAUCAGAGAGUGGUUUCUUUUGGUUCAGCACAUUGCUUAGAACACUGCAAAGAGGGAAAGGGUUUGGCAGGGGCCCAAGCCACCCUAGCAGGGACUGAAGUAACGGAGAACGUGAAGGUACCACGACAAUAUGCAGAUCUCCGUGACGUCUUCAGCGAAAGGGAAGCUGACCAACUACCCCGCAUAGACCCUUUGACUGUCAAAUCAAUUUACUCCCUGGGGCACAGCUCCCUGUAGGCAAGCUGUACGCCAUGUCAGACAGAGAGAUGCAGGAGCUAAGAGAGUUCAUUGACAAGAACCUGAAGAGAGGGUUCAUCAGAGAGUCCAGGGCGGUGGGGGCAGCCCAGUGUUUUUGUGGAUAAAAAACACGAACAAGCCGAGGCUGGUGUGUGACUUCAGGGCCUUAAAUGCAGUGUCAGAACCAGUGGCCUUCCCUAUGCCCAGGAUUGACGACAUUUUGACAAGGGCGCGGAAGGGAAAGAUUUUCACAAAGCUGGACCUAAGGGGGGCGUACAACCUGGUACGAAUAAGGAAGGGGGAUGAAUGGAAAACCACCAUGUUCACCCCUUUAGGGGCAUUUGAAUAUUUGGUUAUGCCCUUCGGCCUACAAGCAGGCUCCGCAACCUUUCAAUCGUUUAUGAACCACGUCCUGGGGCCUUUGCUUUACAAGAAUUGUGUGGCCUUUUUAGACGACGUGUUGGUGUAUUCUGAGAAUGAGGAGCAGCAUGUGAGAGACGUCAGAGAAGUGUUGAGCAGGCUGCAAGCCAACCAGCUGUGGGUGAAACUGGAGAAGUGUCAGUUUCAUACCAAGGAGGUGGAAUUCCUGGGGUAUCGCCUGUCAGACAAGGGAUUGGCCAUGGAUCCCGGCAAGGUCCAGGCGGUGCUGGAAUGGAAAACACCCAAAACAAGGAAGGAUGUGCAGAGGUUCCUAGGAUUUGGGAACUUCUAUCGUAAGUUCAUCCGAAACUUUGCCCACCUGACGGCGCCCAUUACGGACUGUCUCAGCAGUAAGAAGAAGUUCGUUUGGACUGAGGAGGCGGAGCGAGCAUUUGAGGAACUAAAAGGGCCUUCGCCUCGGAACAACAACUCCUGCAUGUGGAUUUACAAAAACCGAUGAGAGUGGAAACUGACGCAUCAGACAGAGCGAUUGGGGCGGUGCUUCUGCAGCCAGGCAAGGAGGAGUCAGAGUGGAGACCGUGUGCCUUUUUUUCACGAAAGCUGAACAAAUCCGAGAGGAACUACACGGUGUAUGACCGAGAACUACUAGCCAUUCAUGAGGCGUUCCGGAGAUGGAGGCACCUGCUAAUUGGCGCACAACAUAAGGUGCAAGUGUGCACUGACCACAAGAACCUAGAGUAUUGGAGGACGGCACGAGUGCUCAACCAACGGCAAGUGAGAUGGGCCCAGGAGUUCUCCAAAUUUAACUUUGAGAUUUGUUACGUGCCAGGCCCAGAGAACAUUAGGGCGGACGCUCUCUCACGCAAACCUGAAUAUUUGGAGGGGAGGGAGCACCCGAAGAGAGACAUGUCAUUCCAGAGGACCGCUGGGUGUGUGGGGCGGCAUUGGUGGGACAAAGAGAACUGGUAGAGGAAACAGAGAAUGAUGAAUACGCCCAGAAUAAGCUCAGAGGUCUUAGGGGUGAGGGAGAGGAACCAGGGGGUUCGAGGAAAGAAAUGGAGCUUUGUAUUACAAAGGGGCACUGUAUAUCCCUGAAGGAGACUUAAGGGGAGGGUACUCAAGCAGUUGCACGACAGCCCUACGGCGGGGCAUUUUGGACAACACAAAACCAUGUGGUUGGUCACCAGGGAAUUUUGGUGGCCCAAGGUGAGGGAAGAUGUACGUGAGUAUGUAAGAGGGUGCGAGCAAUGCCAGCGAGCCAAAGGGGAAAGGCGGGUGCCGGCGGGGCUAUUAGAACCCUUACCAACCCCAGAACGACCUUGGGAGGCAGUGUCGAUAGAUUUUAUGACUGAUCUGCCGAAGUCCAAAGGGAAAACAGCCAUCAUGGUGGUGGUGGACCUACUAACAAAGAUGUGCCACUUUGUAGCUUGCUCGCAUGCAGUCACGGCGGAAGAGACAGCGAAGUUAUUUGUAGAACACAUUUUUAGGUUGCACGGGGUGCCAUUGAGAGUGGUCUCAGACCGAGGAAAACAAUUUACUUCCAGGUUCUGGAGGAAGCUCAUGAGCUUACUGCAGGUGGAGGUCAAUUUUUCGACUGCCCGGAACACUGAAACCAACGGUCAGUCGGAAAGAGCAAACGGUGUCCUCCAGCAAUACCUGAGGUGUUAUGUCAAUGACAGAGAGAAUGACUGGGUAGAAAAGUUGGCGCUGGCGGAAUUUGCCUACAACAAUGCCGAGAAUGUGUCCACAGGGAUGAGCCCCUUCUUGGCUAAUUAUGGGUGUCAUCCCAGGGCUUUCCCAGGGGAGAUGGGGAGAGAUGGAGCGUCCCGGCAGCCGAGCAUUUUGUAGAAGAAAUGGAAGCAAUCCAUUGUCAGCUCCAACUCAACUUAGAAAGGGCGAAGGAAGAAUACAAGAGGCAAGCAGACAAGAACCGAAGGGAAGGUGAAACCAUAAGGGUGGGAGAUAGGGUGUGGCUGUCAACCCAAGGGUUGCCGUUCAAAGGAGGUUGUAAGAAAUUAAGACCCAGGAGGUUGGGUCCCUUUGAGGUCAUUCAACAGGUCAACCCAGUGGCUUUCAGGCUCCGGUUACCCAACCACAUGAAACUGCACCCAGUAUUUCACAGGUCGUUAUUGUCACCGUACAAAGGGGGACGAGAAGGGAUGGCCACUCGGGGACCGGUCAUAGAAGAAAGAGAAUGCAGCAGCCAUGUGGCAGAAAUCCUCGACGCCAGGUGGAAGGGGAAUCAGGUGGAGUAUUUGGUAGCGUGGGAAGGAGAACCGGAGUCAGAAAACACUUGGGUAAUGGCCGAAGAUAUCAAUGACGAGGUAUUGAUAGAAACGUUCCAUCAAAGGUUCCCAAGGAAACCUCAGCCUGUGGAGAGGUUCCGGAGGGAAUACUUUGGGACCACUGAUGAGGAGGAGGAGUUGGAAGGCUUCCCGGACUCGGAAGGGGAAGGGGAGAUGGACUCUGAGGAGGAGGAGUACUUCGAGAUCAGGAACCGCAACAGGUGGAGAGAAGUGUUCGAGACAUCGGAAGAUGAAGGAAGUUCAUUCCGGGUUUUGCCUCCUCACCGCCCGUAGAGGAGGGGCGAGAGGGGGUGAAGGGGGCCCUGGAGGGGAGGUGGAUGUCAGGGAACUGCCAUCGGACGGAAGGGAGGUGAAAGGGCUCACACAGGUUGGGAGAGACUCAGCAGCUGAAGAGGGAACCAGUAGGGGGAGAGGAGCUGAGCGGAGGGAAAGUGAGCUGGAGGGAUGGCUCAGAGACACUUCCAGCGAAAACAGUGGGGAGGUUUCAGGACCUCCUGUAGGGACACCCACUCCUCGCCGGAAACUGACACGCAGAGGGUCCAGAAGACGUGUUUCCGUUAAGGAGCUUUUAUGUUGGAAGCGAUUACGAAAGCAACCACUGUCGGAAUCUGCUAGUGACUAGAGGAGCCAUGUCUGAGGGGCUCCGUCACAGACAGAGGUUUGUGGACUUGAACAAACUCUGAGGGGAUACGAUUUUACGCACAAGCAGCUCAUCAUCCCAUCACACCGAGGUACCACUGUAUGGGGAAAGUGAGUCCACAGGUAGAAGUUUUAAAUCAUCCGAGUUUUUUCAGAAACAAAAAACAAAAUAAUACAUCUGCGUAGAAAAGCACCGGUACAUUUUUUUGGACAACGUGGUACAACAUUAUGAUUAACGUACUUCUUUGUUUUAUACAGAAAGGUGUUUCAUGGUGGUGAUUUUGAGAAGCUACAUAUCAACG
rnacentral:lncRNA from 1 species